rnacentral:rRNA from 1 species
GUUGAUCCCGCCGGAGGUCACUGCUAUUGGGAUUCGACUAAGCCAUGCGAGUCGAGAGGGUUCGGCCCUCGGCUGACUGCUCAGUAACACGUGGAUAAUCUGCCCCUAGGUGGAGGAUAACCUUGGGAAACUGAGAAUAAUACUCCAUAGAUCUAAGAUGCUGGAAUGCACUUAGAUUAAAAGCUCCGGCGCCUAAGGAUGAGUCUGCGGACUAUCAGGUUGUAGUCAGGGUAAGGACCUGACUAGCCUACAACGGAUACGGGUUGUGAGAGCAAUAACCCGGAGACGAUAUCUGAGACACGAUAUCGGGCCCUACGGGGCGCAGCAGGCGCGAAACCUUCACAAUGUGCGAAAGCGCGAUGAGGGGAUCCCAAGUGCUUGCACUUAAGUGUAAGCUGUGUUCUUGUUUAAAACGCAGAGAGAGGAAGGGCUGGGUAAGACGGGUGCCAGCCGCCGCGGUAAUACCUGCAGCUCAAGUGGUGACCGCUAUUAUUGGGCCUAAAACGUUCGUAGCCGGCUGAGUAAAUGCUUGGGUAAAUCGUGCCGCUUAACCGGUACGAAUUCCGGGUAGACUGCUCAGCUUGAGACCGGGGGAAGCUAGAGGUACUCCUGGGGUAGAGGUGAAAUUCUGUAAUCCUGGGGGGACCACCAGUGGCGAAGGCGUCUAGCUAGAACGGGUCUGACGGUGAGGGACGAAACCCUGGGGCGCAAACCGGAUUAGAUACCCGGGUAGUCCAGGGCGCAAACGCUGCUUGCUUGAUGUUAGCUGGGCUCCGGGCUCAGCUAGUGUCGGAGAGAAGUUGUUAAGCAAGCUGCCUGGGAAGUACGAUCGCAAGAUUGAAACUUAAAGGAAUUGGCGGGGGAGCACAGCAACGGGUGGAGCGUGCGGUUUAAUUGGAUUCAACGCCGGAAAACUCACCGGAGGCGACGGUUACAUGAAGGCCAGGCUGAUGACCUUGCCUGAUUUUCCGAGAGGUGGUGCAUGGCCGCCGUCAGUUCGUACCGUAAGGCGUUCUGUUAAGUCAGAUAACGAACGAGACCCUCAUCCUUAAUUGCUACUGAUAACUUUGGUUGUCAGGCACAUUAAGGAGACCGCUGGCGAUAAGUCAGAGGAAGGCGAGGGCAACGGUAGGUCAGUAUGCCCUGAAUCUUCCGGGCYACACGCGCGCYACAAAGGCCAGGACAAUGGGUUUCAACACCGAAAGGUGACGGUAAUCUCGAAACCUGGUCAUAGUUCGGAUUGAGGAUUGAAACUCAUCCUCAUGAAGCUGGAAUCCGUAGUAAUCGCGGAUCAACAUCCCGCGGUGAAUAUGCCCCUGCUCCUUGCACACACCGCCCGU